rnacentral:rRNA from 1 species
AUUGAACGCUGGCGGCAGGCCUAACACAUGCAAGUCGAGCGGUAACAUAGGGAGCUUGCUCCUGGGUGACGAGCGGCGGACGGGUGAGUAAUGUCUGGGAAACUGCCUGAUGGAGGGGGAUAACUACUGGAAACGGUAGCUAAUACCGCAUAACGUCGCAAGACCAAAGAGGGGGACCUUCGGGCCUCUUGCCAUCAGAUGUGCCCAGAUGGGAUUGGCUAGUAGGUGGGGUAAUGGCUCACCUAGGCGACGAUCCCUAGCUGGUCUGAGAGGAUGACCAGCCACACUGGAACUGAGACACGGUCCAGACUCCUACGGGAGGCAGCAGUGGGGAAUAUUGCACAAUGGGCGCAAGCCUGAUGCAGCCAUGCCGCGUGUAUGAAGAAGGCCUUCGGGUUGUAAAGUACUUUCAGCGGGGAGGAAGGUGUUGAGGUUAAUAACCUCAGCAAUUGACGUUACCCGCAGAAGAAGCACCGGCUAACUCCGUGCCAGCCGCCGCCGUAACAC